rnacentral:rRNA from 1 species
UGGGGAAUCUUGCACAAUGGGGGAAACCCUGAUGCAGCGACGCCGCGUGAGCGAUGAAGCCCUUCGGGGUGUAAAGCUCUUUCGACAGGAACGAUAAUGACGGUACCUGGAGAAGCAGCUGCGGCUAACUACGUGCCAGCAGCCGCGGUAAUACGUAGGCAGCGAGCGUUGUUCGGAGUUACUGGGCGUAAAGGGUGUGUAGGCGGUUGCCUAAGUUUGGUGUGAAAUCUCCCGGCUCAACUGGGAGGGUGCGCCGAAUACUGAGCGACUAGAGUGCGGGAGAGGAGAGUGGAAUUCCUGGUGUAGCGGUGAAAUGCGUAGAUAUCAGGAGGAACACCGGUGGUGUAGACGGCUCUCUGGACCGUAACUGACGCUGAGACACGAAAGCGUGGGUAGCAAACA